UAGGUGACUUCUAAUGCAAUUCGAGGAGGAGAGGAGGAUAACCAAGCACCAACCUUGAACAGGAACAUUAAGGACCUAGUGCGCCUAAAUAUUCUUACGAUAUCUAAUUCCACUCAAUCAAAAAUUAUAAAAGUGUAUUCUCUUUGAUCUUGAACUUUGGCAUAAUCUCAUCCACUAAGCUCAUGGUUGCUACCAUAUGGGCAUCGGAGCAGAAGAGGUCGAUAUGGGUGG
rnacentral:lncRNA from 1 species